CUUUCUCCGCCGGCGACCGGCGCACGGGUGAGUAACACGUAUGCAACCUGCCCCUGUCAGGGGGACAACCCGCCGAAAGGCGGGCUAAACCCGCGUACAUGCCACCGGGGCAUCCCGGAGGCAGGAAAGGCUUCGGCCGGACAGGGAUGGGCAUGCGGCGCAUUAGGCAGUAGGCGGGGUAACGGCCCACCUAACCGACGAUGCGUAGGGGUUCUGAGAGGAAGGUCCCCCACACUGGUAAUGAGACACGGACCAGACUCCUACGGGAGGCAGCAG
rnacentral:rRNA from 1 species